rnacentral:rRNA from 1 species
UGGGGGAUAUUGCACAAUGGGCGAAAGCCUGAUGCAGCGACGCCGCGUGGGGGAUGAAGGCCUUCGGGUUGUAAACUUCUUUUGCUCUGAACAAGGCAUGCCUUUGGGGUGUGUUGAGUGUAGGGGUUGAUUAGCGCCGGCUAACUACGUGCCAGCAGCCGCGGUAAUACGUAGGGCGCGAGCGUUGUCCGGAAUUAUUGGGCGUAAAGGGCUUGUAGGUGGCUGGUUGCGUCUGUCGUGAAAGCUCCUGGCUUAACUGUGGGUUUGCGGUGGGUACGGGCUGGCUUGAGUGCAGUAGGGGAGGCUGGAAUUCCUGGGGUAGCGGUGGAAUGCGCAGAUAUCAGGAGGAAAACCGGUGGCGAAGGCGGGUCUCUGGGCUGUUACUGACGCUGAGGAGCGAAAGCGUGGGGAGCGAACAGG